ensembl:lncRNA
CCCACGCCGAAAUCAAGAGUCAGAUGCCUCACCGGCUGAGCCACCCAGGGGACCCUGCUUUAGUAAAUUUCUACACCAUCUCCUAGAGUGUGGGCAUCCCUGUUGGUUCACGCAGCUUUGUAGGGUGGGUCUGGGGAUGGCUCAGGGAGGUGCUCCUGAGGAGUGUGGCCACCGUGGACUGGGCCUCAUCUGGUCUCUGCCCUGACCGUCCGGGGAACCUGGGGGCAAAUCCUUUACCUUUUCCCAGACACAGUUUUUACUCUGCAGAAUGAAUGGCGUUGGCUAUUCCACGAACCGGUGUGUGGUCUGCGGACCAGGAUCACCAGCAACACCUGGGAGCUUACCUAGAAACGGAGAGUCCCAGGCCCCACUCCAGACCUGUCUGAAUCCCCGGUCUGUAUUUUAACAAGAUUCCCAGGUGAUUUGUAUGCACAGCACAGGUCGAGGUGCCUCGCUCUGGACCGGAUUACUGAAAUGUGUCCUUGAACUAGCCGCGUUCGCAUCACCCUGGAGUAGAAGCUCGUUAGCGAUACAAGUUCGUGGGCCCCAGACCUAGUGAACGGCAGCUCUGAGGGUGGGGACCGAGAGCCGGUGUUUUCACAACGUCUCCGGUGAUUCUUAUUAAGCACACUGACCUUUGAGAAGGGCUGAGGCUCGGCCGUGGAGCAGCUGCUGUGUGCAGAGCCCCGUCAGCGCGGCGGUCCUGCUGGACCCACUUCACACGCCAGCGGCUCACAGCGAUUCCGGGAUGUUGUCUUUGCCUUACCUUUGCUGUCUUAAGGAGAAAACUUAAAGGAAAGUUUAAGAGCCAGAUUUCACAUUGAGCAGCUGCAGACGGAGAAAUCAGAGAAAGCACAACCCAGCCCCAGAUUCCGAGGGGCCUGCUGGGGACUCUCCUGCUCGAGAGGGAAGACCCCGAGGCCGGAGUCUCAGGCCAGGUCCUGGCUGCCAUGGGACUCGCAGCUGCUGUCCCCCGGCUGCCCUCCCCGCGGCCAGGCAGAUAAGGGCAGGCACUGCCCCAGGAGCACCUGCUGCCCCCUGCCGGGCUGCUCCUCUGUGGCCAGCCCUUCCCCAGCUUUGGGCCACCUUUGCUGACCCGAGGCCAUGUAGGCCCUACCUGGGCCUUUGUGGAUAGACACACGGCCGGGGACACCGCCUCUGCUCUCUGGGGACACAGCGCACCACCAUGCCCCGGGGAAUCGCCUGGCUGCACUGUGAGUACUGGGGGGGUCCGUGGAGACUGCCCCGGGAAGCCUUGGCCCAGAGCUGGGCUCUGCUGUAACCAUGGCAACCGGGGCCAUUCCUGCUGGUGAGAAGUUGAGAUGCUUCCCAGCCUAAAAGCCUGGGGACUCCCAUAGCUGCCCUCUGCCCUGCCUCUAGCCAACCCCAGCUCAGACCCGCAUGGUGGGUGCAAGUCCUAGGCUGGGUGGGCAUGGUCAGUGGGCGGUCAAGGGGUUGGGGCAAGGGGCAGCACCACCUUCUCAGGCUCACAGGUGCUGGGUGCACGGGGCGGUGGGCAGAGGCGACAGAGAGGAUUUCUGGCUUCCCUGGGUAUGG